GGAGAGCGGUGACCUAUCGACAGGGAGGACGGAGAGGAGGCGGGAGAGUGGUGCGUAUAAGCACACCGAGGAUGGUGAGGAGGAGGCAGAGACAGAAGUUAGAGGUGGUUCCGCUGUGGUCGAAGUAGGUGGAGACGAGACGCGUGAGUUUGCUGGUAGGUUUGGACUUGGCGAGGGCUUCACGAACGUUGUUGGAGUCAGGUUGGAGGAGUUAAGAUAGGACGUAUCGGUGGUGUGAGUCUUCAUCGUGGGGGUGGUGGGCCAGCGAAGGGGCUUGGAUGAUGGAGUAGAUCUUGUUAUAGAAAGGGCCUACACAGCUUGGAGGAAUUCGGUCGACACGUUUAGGCUUGCGGUGGAAGCGUCUUCAUCUUCUUC
rnacentral:lncRNA from 1 species